rnacentral:rRNA from 1 species
CAGUCGCUGCGGUAAUACAGAGGGUGCAAGCGUUAAUCGGAAUUACUGGGCGUAAAGCGCGCGUAGGUGGUUUGUUAAGUUGGAUGUGAAAUCCCCGGGCUCAACCUGGGAACUGCAUCCAAAACUGGCAAGCUAGAGUAUGGUAGAGGGUGGUGGAAUUUCCUGUGUAGCGGUGAAAUGCGUAGAUAUAGGAAGGAACACCAGUGGCGAAGGCGACCACCUGGACUGAUACUGACACUGAGGUGCGAAAGCGUGGGGAGCAAACAGGAUUAGAUACCCCCGUAGUCCCUGUCUCUUAUAC